AGAGUUUGAUCAUGGCUCAGGACGAACGCUGGCGGCGUGCUUAACACAUGCAAGUCGAGCGAUGAAACACCUUCGGGUGUGAAUUAGCGGCGAACGGGUGAGGAACACGUGAAGAAUCUGCCUUCAACUCUGGGAUAACUCCGGGAAACCGGGGCUAAUACCGGAUAUGAGCCUCGAUCGCAUGAUUGGGGCUGGAAAGUUCUUCGGUUGAAGAUGACUUCGCGGCCUAUCAGCUUGUUGGUGAGGUAAUGGCUCACCAAGGCGACGACGGGUAGCCGGCCUGAGAGGGCGACCGGCCACACUGGGACUGAGACACGGCCCAGACUCCUACGGGAGGCAGCAGUGGGGAAUAUUGGGCAAUGGAGGAAACUCUGACCCAGCGACGCCGCGUGAGGGAUGAAGGCCUUCGGGUUGUAAACCUCUUUCAGUAGGGAAGAAGCGAAAGUGACGGUACCUACAGAAGAAGCACCGGCUAACUAUGUGCCAGCAGCCGCGGUAAUACAUAGGGUGCAAGCGUUGUCCGGAAUUAUUGGGCGUAAAGAGCUCGUAGGUGGUUCGAUACGUCGGAUGUGAAAAUCAGGGGCUCAACCCCUGACCUGCAUCCGAUACGGUCGAGCUAGAGUUUGGUAGGGGAGACUGGAAUUCCUGGUGUAGCGGUGGAAUGCGCAGAUAUCAGGAGGAACACCGAUGGCGAAGGCAGGUCUCUGGGCCAAUACUGACACUGAGGAGCGAAAGCGUGGGGAGCGAACAGGAUUAGAUACCCUGGUAGUCCACGCCGUAAACGGUGGGCGCUAGUUGUGCGAACCUUCCACGGUUUGUGCGACGCAGCUAACGCAUUAAGCGCCCCGCCUGGGGAGUACGAUCGCAAGAUUAAAACUCAAAGGAAUUGACGGGGCCCCGCACAAGCAGCGGAGCAUGCGGCUUAAUUC
rnacentral:rRNA from 1 species